rnacentral:rRNA from 1 species
GACGAACGCUGGCGGCGUGCUUAACACAUGCAAGUCGAACGGAAAGGCCCUGCUUUUGUGGGGUGCUCGAGUGGCGAACGGGUGAGUAACACGUGAGUAACCUGCCCUUGACUUUGGGAUAACUUCAGGAAACUGGGGCUAAUACCGGAUAGGAGCUCCUGCUGCAUGGUGGGGGUUGGAAAGUUUCGGCGGUUGGGGAUGGACUCGCGGCUUAUCAGCCUGUUGGUGGGGUAGUGGCUUACCAAGGCUUUGACGGGUAGCCGGCCUGAGAGGGUGACCGGCCACAAUGGGACUGCGAUACGGCCCAGAAUCCUACGGGAGGCAGCAGUGGGGAAUAUUGCACAAUGGGCGGAAGCCUGAUGCAGCAACGCCGCGUGCGGGAUGACGGCCUUCGGGUUGUAAACCGCUUUCGCCUGUGACGAAGCGUGAGUGACGGUAAUGGGUAAAGAAGCACCGGCUAACUACGUG